AUACGUAGGUGGCAAGCGUUGUCCGGAAUUACUGGGUGUAAAGGGAGCGUAGGCGGGUGCGCAAGUUGAAUGUCAAAUCUAUCGGCUUAACCGGUAGUCGCGUUCAAAACUGCGUAUCUUGAGUGAAGUAGAGGCAGGCGGAAUUCCUAGUGUAGCGGUGAAAUGCGUAAAUAUUAGGAGGAACACCAGUGGCGAAGGCGGCCUGCUGGGCUUUAACUGACGCUGAGGCUCGAAAGCGUGGGUAGCAAACAGGAUUAGAUACCCUGGUAGUCCACGCUGUAAACGAUGAUUACUAGGUGUGGGGGGACUGACCCCUUCCGUGCCGCAGUUAACACAAUAAGUAAUCCACCUGGGGAGUACGACCGCAAGGUUGAA
rnacentral:rRNA from 1 species